rnacentral:rRNA from 1 species
UACGAAGGGGGCUAGCGUUGCUCGGAAUCACUGGGCGUAAAGCGCACGUAGGCGGAUUGUUAAGUCAGGGGUGAAAUCCUGGAGCUCAACUCCAGAACUGCCUUUGAUACUGAAGAUCUUGAGUUCGGGAGAGGUGAGUGGAACUGCGAGUGUAGAGGUGAAAUUCGUAGAUAUUCGCAAGAACACCAGUGGCGAAGGCGGCUCACUGGCCCGAUACUGACGCUGAGGACGAAGCGUGGGGAGCAAACAGGAUAGAAAC